rnacentral:ncRNA from 2 species
GGAAAUCGGUGAAAGUCCGGUACGGUGCCGCCACUGUGAGAUGGAGCGUCCCCCACAAUGACACUGAGCCGUCAGGCUUGGGAAGUCGGGGUGAUGCGGAGAAGUCGAGUCAGGAUAC